AACGCUCUCAUCUAAAAGUACACAUGAAAACUCAUAAUGUCCCUGUGAAGCGAAGAACACCAUCACUCCAGAGCUGCAGAGACAACAGAGUGUCCUGUAAUCGAGCAUCUAAGUCAGAGUUAAAACCCUCUCUAAAAUAUCUAACUGCCCACAAUGAUACCACUUCAACAAAUAAACAAACGUUAACCAGGCAACAAGAUCAAAAUGUGCUUAUAGAGAAUAUCCUGUCUCAAAAAAUGAGUGGUGGCUGCAGUGAUUCAAGUGUAUAUUUGUCAAAAAGUACUAGCCCUUUAGAGAAUGUUGAGAAUAACAAAUCAGUUUGGGGUCUGACGCAUAAAACUGACAUCUUGCUUGAUGGGAAAAAGGCAUCUGACGUUGUGCCUUUUGGCAGGGUGAGUGACUGUCCACCCAAAACUGACUCAUCGCUCCGUCAUUGUGCUCCAGAAUCAAGAACUGAGGUAGAAUGGGCACAUCACAUGGAUCAUAUUGAAGAUUGUGUCUUUGUGGACUCUGACACUGUUGUGACACAGUGUGUCCCUGAUUCUUACGAGCCCAGUUCUUGUCAGUAUCAUCAGAAACCUGAUGUUCCCAGACACCCAGAAGUUGUUGUGGAGCUUGAGGACUUUGAGGAUCCAGGUGAAUGCUUUAUCAAACCUCCACAUGACCUCCCCUUUUGUCCUGACUGUUGUCAGAGUUUCCGCACGAUUAGGAACUUGUAUGCACAUAAUUGUGCAAACAGAUAUCCUGAAGGGGAAAUGAAGAAAUUCCACCAGUGUGACAUUUGCUUCAAAUUCUUCAAUGCACCAUCCAAAUUGAAGAGACACUAUGUUACUCACACUGGUCAGAGACCGUUCCAUUGCACACAGUGUCAGAGGUCCUUCACACAGGCCCAUCAUCUAAAAACACACAUGCUGUCCCACAGGUAGAAGGGUUACUCAAGGGUUGUCCAAAGAUAUGACCAAACCAAAAGCGUUUUCAAUUGUAUUUCAGUUGUGUACUAAGUUUUUUGCAAUAUGUUUGGCUUUUAAAGUGCCCCUAUUAUUUUUGAAAAUUACCUUUCAUG
ensembl:lncRNA